rnacentral:snoRNA from 1 species
AAGACUAUAUUUUCAGGGAUCAUUUCUAUAAUUUGGUACUAAAUUGAACGGAACACAAUAUUUCCACAAACAGAGAGGUGGAGGGAGUCGGGAGUUAG